AGGUUCGAGAUCAUCUGAUGUAUCAUCUAAGGCUGGUGUAUCUGCUUCCGGUGAAGGAAGUUUGAUACCAAUUCCAGUAUUUUCAAUUUCAUUGCUCUUACUUUCAACUGAUUCUUCCUUCAUUCCAACAAAAUGAUCUUCGGAUGAGGUUUUGUCCUUCUCGAUUGUAAGAGCUUCUUCUAUGAGAGAUGGCUCUACUGUUUCCUCUUCGACCACUUUGAUUUUGUCAACAAAAUCUUCUCCUGUGGUCUCAGAGGCAGGGUCAGAUGCAAGAUGUUGAUCAUCAGCUUCUUCUGCAAGUGGUGAAUGAAUUUUCUCAUUUGAUUCAUCAUCCUGAAAAGAUAAGCUCCCCAGAAAGCCUGGCUCCUCUUCAGCAAUACUUUCGGUCUUUGACUCUGACCCUUCAGGAUUUUCUGUUUCAGAUCUCUUACUUUCAACUGAUUCUUCCUCCAUUUCAACAAGAUGAUCUUCGGAUGAGGUUUUGUCCUUCUCGGUUGUAAGAGCUUCUUCUAUGAGAGAUGGCUCUACUGUUUCCUCUUCGACCACUUUGCUUUUGUCAACGGAAUCUUCCCCUGUGGUGUCAGAGGCAGGGUCAGAUGCAAGACGUUGAUCAUCAGCUUCUUUUGC
rnacentral:lncRNA from 1 species